UACGUAGGGUGCAAGCGUUAAUCGGAAUUACUGGGCGUAAAGCGUGCGCAGGCGGUUAUGUAAGACAGUUGUGAAAUCCCCGGGCUCAACCUGGGGAACUGCAUCUGUGACUGCAUAGCUAGAGUACGGUAGAGGGGGAUGGAAUUCCGCGUGUAGCAGUGAAAUGCGUAGAUAUGCGGAGGAACACCGAUGGCGAAGGCAAUCCCCCUGGACCUGUACUGACGCUCAUGCACGAA
rnacentral:rRNA from 1 species